rnacentral:rRNA from 1 species
GAUGAACGCUGGCGGCGUGCCUAAUACAUGCAAGUCGAGCGGUAAGGCCCUUCGGGGUACACGAGCGGCGGACGGCAGAGUAACACGUAGGAACGUACCCCAAAGUGAGGGAUAGCCCACCGAAAGGUGGAUUAAUACCGCAUGUGGUCUUCGGAUUAAAGCAGCAAUGCGCUUUGGGAACGGCCUGCGUAAGAUUAGCUAGUUGGUGAGGUAACGGCUCACCAAGGCGACGAUCUUUAGCUGGUCUGAGAGGAUGAUCAGCCUGACUGGGACCGAGACACGGCCCAGACUCCUACGGGAGGCAGCAGUAGGGAAUUUUCCACAAUGGGCGAAAGCCUGAUGGAGCAACGCCGCGUGCAGGAUGAAGGCCUUCGGGUUGUAAGCUGCUUUUGUCUGAGAAGAAUAUGACGGUAACAGACGAAUAAGGGUCUGCUAACUACGUGCCAGCCGCCGCGGUAA